GACAGAGGGUGCAAACGUUGUUCGGAAUUACUGGGCGUAAAGCGCGUGUAGGCAGCUCGGAAAGUCGGGUGUGAAAGCCCUGGGCUUAACCUAGGAAGUGCACUCGAAACUUCCGAGCUUGAGUUCUGGAGAGGAAGGCGGAAUUCUCGGUGUAGAGGUGAAAUUCGUAGAUAUCGAGAGGAACACCGGUGGCGAAGGCGGCCUUCUGGACAGUGACUGACGCUGAGGCGCGAAAGCGUGGGGAGCGAACAGG
rnacentral:rRNA from 1 species